CCUGGAGAAAGCCAUUCCCACAUCAGAAUGCCUGUCUCCAUAUAUCCCAACCAGACUGUUAAGAUAUUCAGUGGAAGACCUUCUAAGCAAGCCCUGCCCUCAGUGCUGUCCAAGGAAGUAAAAGGGGAAACAACAAGGGAAAGGGCUUCUCCGUCAUCACGUCUCACUUUCGGAAUGUCCUCCCUAAGGAGACACAAUGGGCACCCUCAUGGUUUGAUUUCUAUCCCAGAGUGAAAAAUCCAGGAACCAGGUGAUAAAACCUUAUAUGCCACUAAAUGCAUGAAGAAUAGAAGGAUGUCUUAACCUGAUGCUGAAAUAAGAGGAAGGCCUUGCUGUGGCUAUCAUUCUGUGACUGUGCCAGAAGCUGAGCACCCUGGGAAGCCCUUCUUUCUCAUUACUUCUCAGUCUUCCUCAGAGGAGACCCAUGGAUGUGACUUAGAUGACGAAUGUGGUGCUGUUGUUCAAUAAGACAAUGAUAAAAGUACCCAGGAAGGCAGUCCAGUCACCGGCAUGCUUGGAGCACAAGACACAACAGGCCAAGAAGUUGGACCAGCUGUGAUUCCUAGUGGACUGCAUUCCCUAGCUUGGGGCACCAGAGGAGAAGUCCAUUCACACAUGACUCACAGUGGGGCUCUGCAGCCACAGCGCCCUCAGAAGGGCCUCUCCAGCGGAUCUUAACUCUUGGGCACGUUCAUUAUGAAACAGACCGUCAAGACCAUUUAAGUCCCAGCCCAGAAGCAGUGGUGAACCUGGAUCUGGAGCCUGAGGCUGAAGUGGAAGGCCCUGCAGCGCAA